rnacentral:rRNA from 1 species
UACGAAGGGGGCUAGCGUUGUUCGGAAUUACUGGGCGUAAAGGGCUCGUAGGCGGCCAACUAAGUCGGAUGUGGAAUCCCCAGGCUUAACCUGGGAACUGCAUCCGAUACUGGAUGGCUUGAAUUCGGGAGAGGGAUGCAGAAUUCCAGGUGUAGCGGUGAAAUGCGUAGAUAUCUGGAGGAAUACCGGUGGCGAAGGCGGCAUCCUGGACCGACAUUGACGCUGAGGAGCGAAAGCUAGGGGAGCAAACGGG